rnacentral:rRNA from 1 species
UACGUAGGGCGCAAGCGUUGUCCGGAAUUAUUGGGCGUAAAGAGCUCGUAGGCGGUUUGUCGCGUCUGCUGUGAAAACCUAAGGCUCAACCUUGGGCUUGCAGUGGGUACGGGCAGACUAGAGUGCGGUAGGGGUGACUGGAAUUCCUGGUGUAGCGGUGGAAUGCGCAGAUAUCAGGAGGAACACCGAUGGCGAAGGCAGGUCACUGGGCCGCAACUGACG